AUUGAACGCUGGCGGCAGGCCUAACACAUGCAAGUCGAGCGGAGCGGCGGACGGGUGAGUAAUUCCUAGGAAUCUGCCUGGUAGUGGGGGAUAACGUCCGGAAACGGGCGCUAAUACCGCAUCCUAUCCGAUGCGCCUUGGUGGGCUUGGCCAGUUGGUGGGGUAAAGGCUUACCAAGGCGACGAUCAGUAACUGGUCUGAGAGGAUGAUCAGUCACCCUGGAACUGAGACACGGUCCAGACUCCUACGGGAGGCAGCAGUGGGGAAUAUUGGAAAAUGGGCGAACGCCUGAUCCAGCCAUGCCGCGUGGGUGAAGAAGGUCUUCGGAUUGUAAAGCACUUUAAGUUGGGAGGCGUUACCAACAGAGUAAGCACCGGCUAACUUCGUGCCAGCCGCCGCGGUAAUAC
rnacentral:rRNA from 1 species